rnacentral:lncRNA from 1 species
GGGGCUCCUGCGUCGGGCCGGGGACUUCAUCCGGAACCAGGUGGAUUUCUCCUUCCUCACCCGGGCUCUGCCCCAGCUCCUGGGCAAGAUCUACAGGCACCUCUUCCCUGCCCGUGUCCGUAGGGACGCCCCAGGUACCCACCCGCCCCGGCUGUGCCACCCCGUGGCCCUGUGGGGACGCGCCACCCUCGUGCUGGUGGCUCAGGCACCCCUACGCCGUGUCCCUCCUGUCCCCUUCUUGUCCCCACAGACGUGGCUGUGGGAGGGGGGCAGCCUAACCCCAAAGCAGAGGGACCCUGGAGACCCCCCACCAGGUAAAGGGGGACGCAAGGGCAUGGUGGGUUAUGGGGGCUGUAGGUUUUGGGGAGGCGAGCGAGAUACCCAUGGGCACUGAUAGGGCUUUUUGGGGACAGCUCAAGGCAUUGGGGUCCUGCUCUUCCCAUAACCAGGUCCCAACAGGGGUGUACGGGGGGUGGCAGUGCCCAAGGGAUGGGUGCCUGGCUGAGCUGUCCCCGCUGUGCUUGCAGGCAGGGGGCCGGGCAGCCGCCCCCAUUUGCGGGGCUCUUUGGGGCCGUGGGGCCCCAGCUGCAGGACUGGGUGCAGGCGCUGAGGGCUAUGGAUGGGGGCAGCCCCCUGGAACCCACCCCAGAUGGGCAGCGGCUCCCCGGGGAGACGUGGCUCUUCUUGCAGGUAUUUGGAGAGGGAUGGGAUGGGAUGGGAUGGGAUGGGAUGGGAUGGGAUGGGAUGGGAUGGGAUGGGAUGGGAUGGGAUGGGAUGGGAUGGGAUGGGAUGGGAUGGGAUGGGAUGGGGGGAACCCCUGCCGCUCCGGUGACAGUGCCAGCAAGGACCAAACCCCACUGCCUGCCCUGUUCCCUUUCCCUUCCCCGCAGCAGGGUGAGGAGGAGGUGGAGGAGCUGGUGGGACAGGGCAGAGCUUUCCUCGCCCAGCUCCGGGCAGAGCUGGACCUCGACACCCCCCUGGAAGCCACGCAGCAGCAGCAGGCACCCGGAGAGCCAUCGGGGACCCCGACACCAAACCGGUUGGUGCCGAGGGAGAAACGUGAGCUGGUGCCCACACAGCCUGGGCUGGAGGAGGAGGAGGAAGAAGAGGAAGAGGAGGAAGAGGAGGAGGAGGCAGGUGAGGGAAGAGCCUGCCCUGGCCUCAACGCCUCGGCGCUGCGGGUGGGCGCGGUGCAGGAGCUUUACGCCUGGGUGCUGCGGGUGCCGGAGCCGGACCUGGCCAUGACCUUCCAGGAGGUGCGUGGGGCAGCCACCCCCCCCGGCGC